ACAAGCGGUGGAGCAUGUGGUUAAUUCGAUGCAACGCGAAAACCUUACCUGCCCUUGACAUGUCAGGAAUCUUCCAGAGAUGGGGAGUGCCUUCGGGAGCCUGAACACAGGUGCUGCAUGGCUGUCGUCAGCUCGUGUCGUGAGAUGUUGGGUUAAGUCCCGUAACGAGCGCAACCCUUGUCCUUAGUUGCCAGCGGUUUGGCCGGGAACUCUAAAGGAGACUGCCGGUGACAAACCGGAGGAAGGUGGGGAUGACGUCAAGUCCUCAUGGCCCUUAUGGGUAGGGCUUCACACGUCAUACAAUGGUCGGUACAGAGGGUUGCCAACCCGCGAGGGGGAGCUAAUCCCACAAAGCCGAUCGUAGUCCGGAUCGCAGUCUGCAACUCGACUGCGUGAAGUCGGAAUCGCUAGUAAUCGUGGAUCAGCAUGUCACGGUGAAUACGUUCCCGGGUCUU
rnacentral:rRNA from 1 species